rnacentral:rRNA from 1 species
AUUGAACGCUGGCGGCAUGCCUUACACAUGCAAGUCGAACGGUAACGGGCCUUCGGGUGCCGACGAGUGGCGAACGGGUGAGUAAUGCAUCGGAACGUACCUUUCAGUGGGGGAUAACGUAGCGAAAGUUACGCUAAUACCGCAUAUUCUGUGAGCAGGAAAGCAGGGGAUCGCAAGACCUUGCGCUGAUUGAGCGGCCGAUGUCAGAUUAGCUAGUUGGUGAGGUAAAGGCUCACCAAAGGCGACGAUCCUGUAGCGGGUCUGAGAGGAUGAUCCGCCACACUGGAACUGAGACACGGUCCAGACUCCUACGGGAGGCAGCAGUGGGGAAUUUUGGACAAUGGGGGCAACCCUGAUCCAGCCAUGCCGCGUGAGUGAAGAAGGCCUUCGGUUGUAAGACUCUUUCGGCCGGGAAGAAUCGUAUGGGUUAAUACCUGUGCGAUGACGGUCGGCAUAAGAAGCACGGCUAACUACGUGCCAGCAGCCGAC